UAAUACGUAGGGUGCGAGCGUUAAUCGGAAUUACUGGGCGUAAAGGGUGCGCAGGCGGCUCCGCGUGUCAGGCGUGAAAUCCCCGAGCUUAACUUGGGAAUUGCGCUUGAAACUACGGGGCUUGAGUGUGGCAGAGGGAGGUGGAAUUCCACGUGUAGCGGUGAAAUGCGUAGAUAUGUGGAGGAACACCGAUGGCGAAGGCAGCCUCCUGGGCCAACACUGACGCUCAUGCACGAAAGCGUGGGGAGCAAACAGG
rnacentral:rRNA from 1 species